GAUGAACGCUGGCGGCGUGCCUAAUACAUGCAAGUCGAGCGAACAGACGAGGAGCUUGCUCCUCUGACGUUAGCGGCGGACGGGUGAGUAACACGUGGAUAACCUACCUAUAAGACUGGGAUAACUUCGGGAAACCGGAGCUAAUACCGGAUAAUAUAUUGAACCGCAUGGUUCAAUAGUGAAAGACGGUUUUGCUGUCACUUAUAGAUGGAUCCGCGCCGCAUUAGCUAGUUGGUAAGGUAACGGCUUACCAAGGCAACGAUGCGUAGCCGACCUGAGAGGGUGGUCGGCCCCAAUGGAACUGAGACACGGUUCAGAACCCUACGGGAGGCCGCAGUAGGGAAUCCUCCGCAAUGGGCGAAAGCCUGACGGAGCAACGCCGCGUGAGUGAUGAAGGUCUUCGGAUCGUAAAACUCUGUUAUUAGGGAAGAACAAAUGUGUAAGUAAAUAUGCACGUCUUGACGGUAACUAAUCAGAAAGCCACGGCUAACUACGUG
rnacentral:rRNA from 1 species